AAAACUAAGUGAUUUUAUUUUAAAUUACUUAUUUACAAAUGAUACUAAUAUAAAUAAUCUAACAUCAGUUAAAUUAAAUGAUGUUAUAUUAAUUGAUUUGGCAUCAGUUAAACAAAGUGAUAUGAUUUUUGUAUCACUUGAACCUAAACGAUACGAUUAUAUUUAUUUAUAUCAAUUAAAUAAUUGAUGUAAUGAUUUUUUUGUUAACAUCACUUAGUAAAUUGAUAUAAUAUUUACAUCAAUAAGAAACUGACGCUAACAAAAAAAAUUCUCACUGCAUUUUCUUUUGACAUCAGUUUAAUUAAAAUGAUGUUAUUUUAUUUAAAUUUGCAUCACUUAAAACCUUUUUCUGAUACAAAACUUGAAAAAACCUUGAUAAUAAAAGCUCUUUUCAAAAAAAAAAUAAAGAACCUAGAUAAUAAAAAAACGUGAUGCAGUUGAGAUCUAGUGGGUUUAAUAUUUUUCUCUUAUGGCUGCAAUUUAAUUGGAUUUUGUUUUAACUGUUUCAUCUAAAAAAAGCAUAUUCUUUUUAAUCAAAACCUAGAUCCUAUUUAGCAGUUCCUCUCUUCUCUAAUGCUUGAACUUUCUUAACAGUUUAAUUGUUCUAUCUGUUUCUUUUAUACGAGCCAAGAGAUAGAAGCCAGUCGUGAAGUGAACCAUUAUUUUCUUAUAUGAUGAUGACCACGAAUUUGGUUGGAAAUCUGAGAAGAUUUUACUAAAGAGAUGAUUAUCAAUCUUAUUUUAUAUCUCCGGAGCAAGAGACUUGAUCGUAUGAUUACAUAAUUUGUCAUUGAGUACCAAAGGCAUGAAUCAUUGAAAGAGGAAACUAGUUCUAGUCUAGUGAUGACGGAUUCUCCAAUCUUAUUAACAUCACUCAAACGAUUAUAUGCUACUAAUGGAGAUCGAAGAUGAAAAAGAGAUGAAGAUGACAAAAUGUCGAUUGAAGAACUCAUGUGGGGAAUUCACUUAGCUUCUCUUUGUUCAUUUUUUCUGAGAUUUUUUUUGUAAAGCUUUUAUUUUAUUUUUUCCUUUCUCAUACCUGUGUGUACAAACAAAUUAUAAAUGGAAAAAUAUUUUGU